rnacentral:tRNA from 2 species
AAAUAUUUAAUCUAAAUAAGAUCACUAAUUUCGACUUAGUAAAUUUUGGUUAAACCCCAAAAAUAUUUU